AUUGAACGCUGGCGGCAUGCCUUACACAUGCAAGUCGAACGGCAGCACGGGGGCGAACCCUGGUGGCGAGUGGCGAACGGGUGAGUAAUGCAUCGGAACGUGCCCAGUAGUGGGGGAUAACUAGUCGAAAGAUUAGCUAAUACCGCAUACGACCUAUGGGUGGAAAGCGGGGAGUUCGCAAGAACCUCGCGCUAUUGGAGCGGCCGAUGUCUGAUUAGCUAGUUGGCGGGGUAAAAGCCCACCAAGGCUUCGAUCAGUAGCUGGUCUGAGAGGACGACCAGCCACACUGGGACUGAGACACGGCCCAGACUCCUACGGGAGGCAGCAGUGGGGAAUUUUGGACAAUGGGCGCAAGCCUGAUCCAGCCAUGCCGCGUGCGGAAG
rnacentral:rRNA from 1 species